AAGAACCAACAGGGAUUACCUCAGUAACGGCGAGUGAAGCGGUAACAGCUCAAAUUUGAAAUCUGGCUCUUUCAGGGUCCGAGUUGUAAUUUGUAGAAGAUGCUUUGGGUGUGGCCCUGGUCUAAGUUCCUUGGAACAGGACGUCAUAGAGGGUGAGAAUCCCGUAUGUGACUAGGUGCUUUCGCCCGUGUAAAGCUCUUUCGACGAGUCGAGUUGUUUGGGAAUGCAGCUCAAAAUGGGUGGUAAAUUUCAUCUAAAGCUAAAUAUUGGCCAGAGACCGAUAGCGCACAAGUAGAGUGAUCGAAAGAUGAAAAGCACUUUGGAAAGAGAGUUAAACAGUACGUGAAAUUGUUGAAAGGGAAGCGCUUGCAACCAGACUUAGUUGCGGCCGAUCAUCUAGGGUUCUCCCUGGUGCACUCGGUCGUAAGUAGGCCAGCAUCGGUUUGGGUGGUGGGAUAAAGGCCUUGGGAAUGUAGCUUCUUUCGGGGAGUGUUAUAGCCCUCGGUGCAAUGCCGCCUACCUGGACCGAGGACCGCGCUUCGGCUAGGAUGCUGGCGUAAUGGUUGUAAGCGACCCGUCUUGAAACACGGACCAAGGAGUCUAACAUCUAUGCGAGUAUUUGGGUGUUAAACCCAUAUGCGUAAUGAAAGUGAACGGAGGUGAGAACCCUUAAGGGUGCAUCAUCGACCGAUCCUGAUGUCUUCGGAUGGAUUUGAGUAAGAGCAUAGCUGUUGGGACCCGAAAGAUGGUGAACUAUGCCUAAAUAGGGUGAAGCCAGAGGAAACUCUGGUGGAGGCUCGCAGCGGUUCUGACGUGCAAAUCGAUCGUCAAAUUUGGGUAUAGGGGCGAAAGACUAAUCGAACCAUCUAGUAGCUGGUUCCUGCCGAGUCUCCCCUACAGGAUA
rnacentral:rRNA from 1 species